rnacentral:lncRNA from 10 species
CUUUUUUUUCCUAUUUGAUUUCAUCCCUUUCUAUGCUUUCUUUAAUUUAAUUUGAGAGGGAGAAAAUGUUUGGUGCUAAUUAAUUCAAUUUUGGGUGUGUGGUUUUAUUUUGUUUUAGAGCAUAGCUUUUAUUCUUCUACAUGGAAAUAACUAUGAUAACAAUCAAGCAUCCCUCAUCAUCCUGUGGGAUAAUCUUACUGAAAAUUUGAAUGUCGCUUUGAAGAAUAUUACAUGUGAUUUAAAGGCCAUUGUACAGCUAUUUGCUGGCUCCGAAGGACCCUCACCAGAUAUCAAAUCUGUUGGCACCUUGAUCUUGGACUUCCUGGUCUCCAGAACUAUGAGAAAUACAUUUCUGUUUUUUAUAAAUUACUAAUUCUAAGGGAUUUUGUUAUAGCAGCUCAAAUGGACUAAGACAAUUAGUCUAAAAUCUAAGCAUAUUUUACUUGACUAAACACUAUAAAUUUUAUUGAAAAACAUUAUUGUAAUUUAACUGUGGAUUUGAACAUUUUAAAAUAAAAAUAAGCAUGUUUAUGUUUGAUGUUGAAAUUCUCUGUUUCUGAAGUAGCGAAUGUUUUAGAAAGAAAUUCAAGGGGGAUAUUAGCAUAUGAUAGUCUUGUUUACUUCCAAUUAACACAGGAAUACUUUUUUCUGACAAACACUAAAAAUAGUUAAAAAUUAUGAAUCGUUUUUACCAAUGUGUAUCUUUGUAAACUAGGAGUUAAGACACAACACAUGUUUCCCCACUUUUCUCUUUUAUAGUGUGACAGUGUGAUUUUGUACUAUGAAUAUUUAUUAUAUGUUAAAGCCUACUUGCUUUUUAAAAAUGGAUUAUGAUCUUGAUCUUUUACUAGAUUGUAAGCAUCAUGUUCAUUUUAUUCACUAGCACAGGCCUGGCAUCUGUCACAGAGCACGGCACAUGCUAGCAAGCUCAAUAAGUACUUCUUACAUGAGCGAUUGUUUAGAUUUAUGAGUGAAUGAUGAUGACUCUUUUUCUCUCCCUAUUCCAUCCUCAGCUUCCUUCUUCCAUAUGUCUUUCACUUUACAUGCUUCCUAUUCUAUUGUUUUGAACAAUGUCUUGCUUGGUGUCCUUUUUUUUCUGUCACUGAUGUGUCUUACUCCUUUUCUCUUUCAGGAUAUCUUUCUAUACCCAUCUUUGUGUUUCUUCCUUAAACUUACAUUCCUGUUCUCUCCUCUGUUAAAAAUAUGAUAUGAAGUAAACAUUUUUAUCUGUUGUGUUAUUAAAUGAGUUUCGCCCUUUGCUGUUUAGAGAAUAAGGUAAUUGCAAUAUGUUUAUACCUUUUUUCCUCUUAAAAAGAUAAGAAAUAUGAUUCCUAUUGGAGUUUGGUUUUUAUUUUUAUUUUCUGUGGGAUUUUUUGUUUUAUGUGUGUUUCUGGAAGCCUAGAUUUUUUUAAGUGCUAAGCUACAGAAAUGUAGAAUAAUCUUACCCAAUCAACCAAAAACAAAUCCCCCAAAAUUAAGUUCAUCAAUUAAAUUUGUUUUCUAAACUGUUGGUGCUAUAAAGAUAAAACUUUAUUCUGCAUUAUUUCUGUGUUUGUUUAAAAUUAUUAUUGAGUUUAACUUAAAUUUAGAAACUUUUUGACUAAGAAUGUUUAGAGCACAAUAUUAUUUACAUAUAUAUAACUGUAAAUUAAGUUCAAAAAUAAAAUUCUUAUUCUUACAGUCUUAUCUCACUAAUACAACCAAAAUAACAUUAGUUAACACAAAGAACAUUAAAAACCAAUAUAAAUCAAAUUAAAGACAUUUAUUUUAUGUAUAAACCAUCAUUUAAAUAAAACUAUAUUAAGUGUAGCAUUUCAUUUCAUUUUUAAUUAUUUAUUCUUUUUGUUUGGAGUAAAAUGCCUUAUAUCUGUAUAUGUAUAUAUGCAUAAAUAUAUACAAAUAUUGAAACUAUAAAUAUUAUUUGAUAUUUUUAUAUUUUAAAAUUACUGCUCUUUUAAACAAUGCACUUAUUUUAACCACUAAUACUACUACUACAUUUAGCUAAAUCCCCGUAAAAUAAAAUUGUAUAUGUGAAUUAUUUUAAUACACACACAUGCAAAUGUUUUCUACUUAGUAUUACUAUAAAAUUGUUUAACUUGGUAAUAAAACCACACGCUGGUAUACUUCGCUGAAAUGUUGGUAUUUUAUAGAUUAUGAUGUUAAAUGUUUUUCUUAUAUUUUGUUUAUAACUUACCUACCUUACUUUGAACAAUCUCGCCUGUCAAAAUGCUACCUUUUUUCUAUAUGUGAACUUUCAUUUACACUAUUUUUUAUGGUAUAUUAGAA